rnacentral:misc_RNA from 1 species
AACGCACACUGCGCCUUUUGGUACCCCAAAAGGCCUGCCUGUCUGAGUAUCGUUUUCCAUCCACUUGCCCGCCACCGCCGCCUCGAGCGCGCGGCCGGGGGCAGAGGUGGGCUUCCGGGCUGUGUGCACACACGGCCCGGUGGCCUGAAAGGCAUGCAGCACGCGCGGCAGGCUGCGCACACCCAGUGCAGCGGCACACGGCCCACGGUGAUGUGAUCGGACCGAGCACGGCCCGUCCCAGCGCCCGCGGCCGGCCGCGGCACGCGCAGCCACACACGCCGACGCGCGCGUCAUCGCACGAGCAACGGCGCACACGCAUGCGUCACACGCGCAUGCGCGUGCGCCACACGCACCACACCGAUCUCAGAUCAGGCAGGAGUACCCGCUGAACUUAA